GAUGAAGAACGUAGCGAAAUGCGAUAAGUAGUGUGAAUUGCAGAAUUCAGUGAAUCAUCGAAUCUUUGAACGCACAUUGCGCCCUUUGGUAUUCCUUAGGGCAUGCCUGUUCGAGCGUCAUUUAAACCUUCAAGCUCAGCUUGGUGUUGGGUGACUGUCCGCUUCACCGCGGACUCGCCUCAAAAUUAUUGGCGGCCGGUACAUUGGCUUCGAGCGCAGCAGAAACGCGAACUCGGGCCCGUCGUAUUGGCUCCCAGAAGCUAUCUUCACAAUUUUGACCUCGGAUCAGGUAGGGAUACCCGCUGAACUUAAGCAUAUCAAUAAGCGGGGA
rnacentral:misc_RNA from 1 species